rnacentral:rRNA from 1 species
AAUAUUGGACAAUGGGCGAAAGCCUGAUCCAGCCAUGCGGCGUGUGUGAAGAAGGGCUUCGGUUUGUAAAGCACUUUAAGUUGGGAGGAGGAGUUGUAGGCUAAUACCUUGCAAUUUUGACGUUACCAAUAGAAUACGCACCGGCUUACUUCGUGCCAGCAGCCGCGGUAAUACGAAGGGUGCAAGCGUUAAUCGGAAUUACUGGGCGUAAAGCGCGCGUAGGAGGGUCGUUAAGUUGGAAGUGAAAGCCCCGGGCUUAACCUGAGAAUUGCAUUCAAAACUGACGAGCUAGAGUACGGUAGAGGGUAGUGGAAUUUCCUGUGUAGCGGUGAAAUGCGUAGAUAUAGGAAGGAACAUCAGUGGCGAAGGCGACUACCUGGACUGAUACUGACACUGAGGUGCGAAAGCGUGGGGAGCAAACAGG